UGGGGAAUCAUGGUCAAUGGGCGAAAGCCUGAACCUGCGACGCCGCGUGAGUGAUGAAGGUCGUAAGAUCGUAAAACUCUUUUCAGGGAUCUUAAAGCCUGUCUGUCAACAACAGGCAGGCCUGACUCUCCCUGGAAGAAGCCCCAGCCAACUACGUGCCAGCAGCUGCGGUAAUACGGAGGGUGCGAGCGUUAUUCGGAAUUACUGGGCGUAAAGCGCGUGCAGGCGGGGAGGCAAGUCUGAUGUGAAAGCCCUGGGCUUAACCCGGGAAGUGCAUUGGAAACUGUCUUUCUUGAGUACUGGAGAUGAAAGUGGAAUUCCUGGUGUAGAGGUGAAAUUCGUAGAUAUCAGGAGGAACACCGGUGGCGAAGGCGACUUUCUGGCCCGAUACUGACGCUCAGGCGCGAAAGCGUGGGGAGCAAACA
rnacentral:rRNA from 1 species